UAAUGCUCCUCGCAAGGUGCUGAAGGUUGAAGAGCUGUUUGGCAUCAUAUACACCUAUUUCCUCCUCAGAGAAAGGUUACCUGGCUCUGGUCUGCCAAACUACCGCACCAUCACAUGCAGUGAUUUGGGGGAAGAAAAAACAAGUCUGACAAAUUUUCCCAGUGGAUAAGGGGCAGCAGAAAAAACCUGCCAACACUGAACUCCUGUAGUCUUCACUGGACCCACCUUUUUUUUUCUUCUCUGAAAGAUUUAUCCAUUUCAGAUUUGUGGUCUCUCUUUCCCAAUAAGACACCUUCAACUUAAGAGGUUAAUUUCCCAAAGACUUUGUUCACUAAAGUCAUGGCCAUCUCAGGCAUCUGAAAGACAAGUACACCACAGGGACACAACUAAAGAUAUGGGAGACAGAAAUAUACCACAUGAAUUGACAGAGGUAAAGAGAGGCCACGCUACUUUCCCAAACCUCUGCCUCAGGACCCAUCAAAAUGUAUGGGCAGGAAUCCCCUCAUGAUCUUGACAACCAGUUGCCAAACUAGUUUGAGUCAAAUGUCUGUCAUCUGCCAGUCAGAAGAUAACCCAGAUGUUGUACACUUGGGUUACUCCUCACAUACCUGAGCAGCUUCUAAAAAAUGAGCAAGUGUGUAAAAUGCUCAUCCCCUCCCACACGUAGCAAACAGCAGCUGCAGUGGGCACCCUGUACAGGGUGCAGCCCACGCUGGCAGAACACACAAAGAUAAAAACCUUGCUUAGGAAUGCUCACGUGCUGAGUUAAGCACUGCGAUAAUUAAAUCGUUAGUCACAUUGACAAGUGGGUGGAAGAGGCUGGAAACGUCUGAUGCAGUUUGCUACAGGCAAUCAUAGAUUUACCAGUGAUGCAUCUGUCACACACAAAGAUGGGCUCAGACCCAAGCAUCUGCAACAGCUCAACUUUAGGCUAUUUCCCAGAAGUGAAAUGGAACGAAGACACUAGCCCUGCAUCCCCAGUGCUGUAAAACAACCAAGACCCACUACCAACCUACCGCAUGCAAGCAGCUGCGUGAUUUCACAUUCUCAAAAUAUUCAUCUGGGAAAAGAACUUGCAGAGGCUAAUCCUUAUCUAGGGAUCUGGGAAUUUCCCUUCCUGAAAUUCUCGCUGAUAGUACUAACUAGUUAUCUAGCAUUUAUAUGUCCCCAGUCUAGCUAUGUGACAUAUUUCACUUGGCUACAGCGUAGCAAAAGGCUUGCAGGGUCAGCAGAGGAGAUCUGAAGCAUUUCAGUAAAUACCUAACCACCCUCUUCAGUAUCUGCCACUCACAUAGUACCAACUCAUCUUUGCGACAGUUUUCAAUCUCCUCCAAAGUACAAAACUGAAAGUACUUCUGUUAGUCUCAAUGAACAAAAUUUUACGUGAAAGCUGGUGGUGAAAAACUGGAUCUUGCACCCCAGACCACCAGCCCUUGUUUCACUACCAGCCUCAAAAUUCCUCUCCAUAGAGCAAUACAAUCAGGAAUGGGGGAGGGAGAAAGGCAAAAAAUGGUAACUGUAUUAGGACACCUCGCUGUACUGGUCCCUUUCCACAGAGAAGCCUGUGCACCAUUCCCAAGUCUAGAAUGAAUUGUUACUAGAGAAGCCUAAGGCUUGUGGGGACUCUAUUUAACAGGUCAACUUUCAGGGAACAGCAGCCUGUAGGAACACGCAAAAAGAGGACAAGACUCACAGCAACAAGGUGAGGUGGGUUGUUUUUCCCCAAAAAGUUUUUAUUUGAGAAAGCUGACAAAAGUCUCCCAACCAGUCAUUACAGGCAAAUCCACACCAGUCCCCCGCACCUGCUGCCCAGUAACUACUCCAGUACAGUGAAGAUCCAAACAUAACACCAGAACAAUGGGAGUGUAACAGUCACCUGGGGAACUUAAGGCCUCACCAUCAUUUUUAAGAUAACUUUGUACUCAGAUAAGGAUGGGGAGAGGAUAUCAAAACAGACAAGAACGGAUAAGACCCUUUCUUGUACUGUCUUUUCAAGUUAUAUAAAAACAAAAGCAAAACCUUUAACAGAUCUACAGGCUUCAAACUGUAGGACCUAAAACUACCUUCAAAUGACUUCUGUAAUUCAGUCCUGUGGCACUGCUGCUGUUCUGCACUAUAACAGCUUUCAAAAACAUACAAGGAUAAAAUGGACGCAAGGGCAGAGGAGUGGACUUAGGAUCCUAAUAUGGCCUUAUCAAAAACCAAACAAAUUAAAAGCAAUCAAAGUACCUGCAGUGGAACUAACAACUCCAGGAACUGGGGAAUGGCAAAGGACUAAUAUAUUUAGAUGACAGGAGAUCAUCUUUACAUCCUCUUUUCCACUGCCUCACCCUAGACAAUUGUUUCCUUCCUAGCAAUAGAUCAGACUCAGGUGAGAAAUUAUAAAAACUAUACUUUUUUGAAACUGCUAGGCUGGGCCCAGGGCCAUGACACAACCCCAUCCCUACCCAGAAGAAUCUAGACACAGGACACCAGAAUGCUGUGCUGCAGAACCACUUGCUCCAAAGGAAUGCAGAGACGAUGACAGAAUUGUAAUCACGGCGUAAAAACUGCAACAAGUCCAGGAAGUUAACCUGCCUGCUUUUUCCCAGUCUGGCUUUUUUAACAUAGUGCCACCUGGACAGCUGAGAAAUGGUGAGAGGCUGCUGGCUCUUACUAUCUAGUACUGCACAGGAAAACAACAGGUCUGUUGAGGGUACAGUAGACUGCCCCCUCACAUAUAGAAUUAGCCUAUUCCCAGCCUGUACUGCCUUUUUUCAGUUCAUCCACAUUCUUCCAACUCCUCUGCUAUCCUGCAUAGAACUAUUGUAUCCUCAGACCUCAAUGCAGGGUAUAGGUCCUCGUGCCUCAUGUGAGCAUCAGCUCACCCUGCUUUGAGGUCUCAUAAAAUGACAUUCAGCCAGCUGCCUGGAUAGAUGAGAAUUCUCCUGCUCAAUGUAAGAGCAAGUUUCCUAGCAUGACCUGCUCCCAUCUGCUCUGUGACUGUAUCUGACCGAGGCCUCCUGCACAAAAGGCUGUUCCUGACCAAGGUUUUCAGGAAAGCUGCUGCACCAUUUCAAAACAAGAGAGGCAAAUCCAAGACAAACAUGUGGGGGAAGGGUGGGACCAAGGCUGGAGAGCUUAUUUGAGCAAAGCAGGCUUCUUUCCAAGCUCAAACACACUUCCAAGCCUGCCUUAGAAGGCUCCCCUUCCUCCAGGCUGAAUCACCAUAUGCUCAAGUGCUCUGACCUGUCAGCACAAAGACACCAGCUCCCACAGGGAGAAACACAGAGGUCCACAACAGGGACCGAACCUUGGAAGACCCUCUAUUCUCAGGCCCUGCUGGAAUGAUGAAUCCUAUUGCUUUGCACUCAUCUCCAUUUGCUUGAGGCUUAGAUCCCAGCUGGUGAGGACAGGGAUUCCCCCUGCUCUGCCCCAGUGUGACCUACAUGCCACCUAAAGAGCGCAGCAGGGUCAGGUGGCUCUGAGUAACACUGCAGUCACAGACAGAUGGGAGACAUCAUCAAGCCAUGAUUAUAGAAGGAGAAUAGACAGCGCAAAAAACUUGCUGCAGCUGUCAUGGAAACAUCUUUUUUUAUUUAAUCGCUGCCCCAGGAAUACCCAAACCCAUCACGACCUCCCCCACCC